rnacentral:rRNA from 1 species
UGUUAUUAGGGAAGAACAAGUAUCGGAGUAACUGCCGGUACCUUGACGGUACCUAACCAGAAAGCCACGGCUAACUACGUGCCAGCAGCCGCGGUAAUACGUAGGUGGCAAGCGUUGUCCGGAAUUAUUGGGCGUAAAGCGCGCGCAGGUGGUUUCUUAAGUCUGAUGUGAAAGCCCACGGCUCAACCGUGGAGGGUCAUUGGAAACUGGGAGACUUGAGUGCAGAAGAGGAUAGUGGAAUUCCACGUGUAGCGGUGAAAUGCGUAGAGAUGUGGAGGAACACCAGUGGCGAAGGCGGCUCUCUGGUCUGUAACUGACGCUGAGGCGCGAAAGCGUGGGGAGCGAACAGGAUUAGAUACCCUGGUAGUCCACGCCGUAAACGAUGAGUGCUAAGUGUUAGAGGGUUUCCGCCCUUUAGUGCUGCAGCAAACGCAUUAAGCACUCCGCCUGGGGAGUACGGCCGCAAGGCUGAAACUCAAAGGAAUUGACGGGGGCCCGCACAAGCGGUGGAGCAUGUGGUUUAAUUCGAAGCAACGCGAAGAACCUUACCAGGUCUUGACAUCCUCUGACAACCCUAGAGAUAGGGCGUUCCCCUUCGGGGGACAGAGUGACAGGUGGUGCAUGGUUGUCGUCAGCUCGUGUCGUGAGAUGUUGGGUUAAGUCCCGCAACGAGCGCAACCCUUGAUCUUAGUUGCCAGCAUUAAGUUGGGCACUCUAAGGUGACUGCCGGUGACAAACCGGAGGAAGGUGGGGAUGACGUCAAAUCAUCAUGCCCCUUAUGACCUGGGCUACACACGUGCUACAAUGGAUGGUACAGAGGGCAGCGAAGCCGCGAGGUGAAGCUAAUCCCAUAAAGCCAUUCUCAGUUCGGAUUGUAGGCUGCAAUUCGCCUACAUGAAGCAGGAAUCGCUAGUAAUCGUGGAUCAGAAUGCCACGGUGAAUACGUUCCCGGGCCUUGUACACACCGCCCGUCACACCACGAGAGUUGACAACACCCGAAGUCGGUGAGGUAACCUUUUGGAGCCAGCCGCCGAAGGUGGGAUAGAUGAUUGGGGUGAAGUCGUAACAAGGUAACC